AAACCUAAACUGAAAAUGCAGAAUAGAGAGAUUAAUGGGUAAUUG
rnacentral:guide_RNA from 1 species